rnacentral:tRNA from 1 species
ACCUGUCUGGCUUAGUCAGUGAGCGUGUGACUUUUGAUCUCAGAGCUAUGGGUUCAAGUCCCAUGUUGGGUG